AAUUUUAAGGUCAAGCUACAAAGGGCGCAUGGUGAAUGCCUUGGCACUAGGAGCCGAAGAAGGACGCGAUAAGCUGCGAUAAGCCUUGGGUAGCCGCAAAUAGGCUGAGAUCCAGGGAUUUCCGAAUGAGGAAACUCACAUGGGUAACCCCAUGUAUCAUGCACUGAAUACAUAGGUGUAUGAGGGUAAACCCGGGGAACUGAAACAUCUAAGUACCCGGAGGAAGAGAAAGAAAAAUCGAUUUCCUAAGUAGCGGCGAGCGAACGGGAAAGAGCCCAAACCAGAAACUUGUUUCUGGGGUUGCGGAUAGAUCAUAAAAGAAGAGGUAUCUUAAUCGAAGAGGGCUGGAACGCCCUACCAUAGAAGGUAAUAGUCCUGUAGAUAAAAAGAGAAAACUUUAAGAUCUAAUCCAGAGUACCACGAGACACGUGAAACCUUGUGGGAAGCAGGGAGGACCACCUCCCAAGGCUAAAUACUACCUAGUGACCGAUAGUGAAGCAGUACCGUGAGGGAAAGGUGAAAAGAAC
rnacentral:rRNA from 1 species